GAUCCCAACUUUUAAAACAUGCUGCAGAAAUCCUAUGAACCUGGAUCGCCAACCGUUCCUACCCAUCUAUGGCUAUCUUGGUUUUCCACAAGGUUACGUUUUUUAUCCCCAAGGCUUCCCAUUUUACUCUCAAGGCUAUUCUGAAGAACAAUCUAACUAUUGGAAUCCAUCUAAUCCUGUCAUGAACAGCUACCCUAAUUUAGUUGUCCCAGAACCUUUCCCUGGACAACCUUUGUUUCCUGCCCAACCACAAAUUGGAUAUGUUCCCUCUGUUCUUUAUAGUCCUCAAAAUUAUGCAGGCUCUGCAUUGUCUCCCCUGCCACAAUAUGUCCUUCCUCCCUUGGUACAACGUGCCCCUUCUACCUUUGCGUACCGUGCCCGUCCUGCCCUUCCACCCCGUG